CAGUUGCAUCAGUCGUGUCCGACUCUUUGCAACCCUCUGGACUGUAGCCCACCAGCCUCCUCUGUCCAUGGGAUUCUCCAGGUGGAUUCCUCACCGCUCAGCCACCUGGGAAGCCUGUGCUCCAUGGUACUAAGGAACUAAGUCUGGAGACAGAGCAUUUUAGAGAUGAAAGUAUCUUGGCAAUCAUCAAGUGGGAAAGAAAGGCAGAGAGCAGAAACAAUGUCAUGUUUCAACUAUGGCAAAAAUAAGAUGAGUAAUCAGCAUCGGAUUAGAAGCCAUGAGACCCCUCUCUUCAGCACCACCCCACCCUGGAUCAGGACUGUGAUGAUGAGCAAGGAUGUUCUGUAUCUAGAAGAAGAUGGGGGUUUGCCCAACCACUUGCUUCCAGCACUGGCUGUGUAGGGAACCUGGCCUUUCUGAUGUGUGGGAGUCACACUCUCCUUAAACUUUAAGAUAAUAUUUCAGCAAAGUUUCAUUAAUAUGGGGGCAUUUUCCACCAUGGAUACAAAGCAGGAUGUUGUUGUUUAGUCACUAAGACAUGUCUGACUCUUUUGCAACCCUGUGGACUGUAGCCCACCAGGCUCCUCUGUCCAUGGGAUUGUCCAGGCAAGAGUACUGGAGUGGGUUGCCAUUUCCUUCUCCAGGGAUCUUCCCAACCCAGGGCUUGAACUCCAGUCUCCUGCAUUGCAGGCGGAUUCUUUUACCAAUGAGCCACCUGGGAAGCCCACAAAGCAGGAUACACAGUUGUAUAUUCAUGACAGCAGCAGUUAUGUAGAAAGAAACAGUUAUUUGACUUGAAAUUAUUGCUCCCCAAAUGUAUUCAGUUCAGUUCAGUCGCUCAGUCAUGUCCGACUCUUUGCGACUCCAUGAAUAGCAGCACACCAGGCCUCCCUGUCCAUCACA
ensembl:lncRNA